GAUGGUGAUUGACCGAAGUUAACUGAAACUGAGGAAAGUGAAACCACAGAGAGUGGCAGAUUAGAGGCUGUGAAACUAUCGGGGAAAAACAGCUUCUAAAAAUACAAGUGCCGCUGGCAUGAUGGACCAGAUUUGGAAAGAGGGCGUCUUGCAUUUUCUCCUGAGGCACACAAAAGGGAGAGAGAGGAGAGGCCAGGCAGAGGGAUGGAUGCGAGCAAAGCCACAGUGGCAAGAGAAAGCAACAUGGAUGGAGCAAAGGGUCAAUGUUGAGGGAGAAUCUGUAAAACGAGAAUGGCAGUGCUUCCUUGCAGGGAUGCUGCGAGGUUCAAGAAGGAGAAUGACUGCAUCAGCACCUGGUCCAGCGCUCAGCACGUGUAGGUGUGAGGAGGAAGUGACGUGCAAGCUGACUCAGAGGGGGAGUUCUCCAGGUGAAGGAGGGAGAGGACACUCAGAAAACUUGGUUCCACAUGUAUGAAGGCAUGGAGCCCUGAAGCAGCCUGUGACCUAGGGGCGCGGUGAACAGUGCAUGUGGUUGUUGUGUGGGACCUUCUCCCCAAACUCUACCCUAAGCCUGCCCAUCCCUAGUGCUCCCCGACCCUGUGAAUACCUAGACUCUUUAAAGCCACCAUGGACACUUUCCUGUGUUCAUCCCUGAUAAUCAGUCACCAUUUCCUGUUGAUGUCACCUCCUGAG